rnacentral:rRNA from 1 species
UACGUAGGGGGCAAGCGUUGUCCGGAUUUAUUGGGCGUAAAGAGCGCGUAGGCGGUCUUAUCAGUUUCAAGUUCCAGGUGGGGGCUUAACUCCCACAGGCCUUGGAAACUGUAAGACUUGAGGACUAGAGAGGGAUGCGGAAUUCCAGGUGGAGCGGUGAAAUGCGUAGAGAUCUGGAAGAACACCAAAGGCGAAGGCAGCAUCCUGGCAAGUAUCUGACAGCUGAGGCGCGAAAGCUAGGGGAGCGAACAGG